UAGCGGCGAGUGAGCGGCAAGAGCUCAGAUUUGAAAUCUCACCUAGUGUGCGAGUUGUAAAUUGCAGGUUGGAGUCUCGGGUUAGACGUGUGUGCAAGUCCCUUGGAACAGGGUGCCACUGAGGGUGAGAGCCCCGUAGCGUGCAUGUCGACACCUGUGAGGCCCUUCUGACGAGUCGAGUUGUUUGGGAAUGCAGCUCUAAGUGGGUGGUAAAUUCCAUCUAAGGCUAAAUAUUGGCGAGAGACCGAUAGCGAACAAGUACUGUGAAGGAAAGAUGAAAAGCACUUUGAAAAGAGAGUGAAACAGCACGUGAAAUUGUUGAAAGGGAAGGGUAUUGGGCUCGACAUGGGAUUUACGCAUCGUUGCCUCUUGUGGGCGGCGCUCUGGGUUUUUCCUGGGCCAGCAUCGGUUUUUGUUGCAGGAUAAGGACAAUUGGAAUGUGGCUCCUCGGAGUGUUAUAGCCUUUUGUAGAUGCUGCGUAUGGGGACCGAGGGCUGCGGCGGACUUGUUUCGUCUCGGAUGCUGGCACAACGGCGCAAUACCGCCCGUCUUGAACA
rnacentral:sRNA from 1 species